rnacentral:rRNA from 1 species
UACGAAGGGUGCAAGCGUUACUCGGAAUUACUGGGCGUAAAGCGUGCGUAGGUGGUUUCUUAAGUUUGCUGUGAAAGCCCCGGGCUCAACCUGGGAAUUGCAGUGGAUACUGGGAAGCUAGAGUGCGGUAGAGGGUAGUGGAAUUCCCGGUGUAGCGGUGAAAUGCGUAGAGAUCGGGAGGAACACCAGUGGCGAAGGCGGCUACCUGGACCAGCACUGACACUGAGUCACGAAAGCGUGGGGAGCAAACAGG